rnacentral:rRNA from 1 species
UGGGGAAUUUUGGACAAUGGGCGCAAGCCUGAUCCAGCAAUGCCGCGUGCAGGAUGAAGGCCUUCGGGUUGUAAACUGCUUUUGUACGGAGCGAAACGGUCUGCCCUAAUACGGUGGGCCCAUGACGGUACCGUAAGAAUAAGCACCGGCUAACUACGUGCCAGCAGCCUCGGUAAUACGUAGGGUGCGAGCGUUAAUCGGAAUUACUGGGCGUAAAGCGUGCGCAGGCGGUUUUGUAAGUCAGUUGUGAAAUCCGCGGGCUCAACCGUGGACCUGCAUUUGUGACUGUAUAGCUAGAGUACAGAAGAGGGGGGUGGAAUUGCGGGUGUAGCAGUGAAAUGCGUAGAUAUGCGGAGGAACACCGAUGGCGAAGGCAAUCCCCUGGACCUGUACUGACGCUCAUGCACGAAAGCGUGGGGAGCAAACA